rnacentral:lncRNA from 1 species
CCCGAAACAACCUUUAUGAAAAUGCUUUUAAAAAAGUAAUCAUAUUAAAUGUAUAUCGUCAGGUUAUAUUACUUUGUCUUUAUGAUAUAAUUGAUAAGAUUUUUACGCGUCAAUCAAAAAUCUAUCCAUUAUACCCUCACACUAAGCAUUGUCCUAUUCUCAUACAGCAACUAACAAGGAAACCAGUACGGUUUAGACUUCAUUUAUGAGUUUAUUUUGUUUAAAGCUAUACUUCA